GCUCCACCCAGGGGGCGGGGACAGCAGCCGACCUCUGGAGCGCGCUGCCGGUGUUCGUUGCCCACGCACGGGAAGGAUACCCAAUGCAAGGGGGAAUGCGCUUUAUGACAAUCUCCUGACUCCUAGUAACUAGUUUCUUGGGAUUGUUUAAAAUUCCUUAACUUUUCUUGAAAUAAACUUAAACUCACGGGAGAGCUGUCGGCACAGUACCAAGGGAGACCUGACAGCAAGAGCAGCUCGGCUGACCCACGCCCUAGGGAAACUGAUGACAAUUAUUUCAAAACAAGCAAACAACAAAUAACCAUUUAAAGCCUUGGAAAUAGUCUUAAAAGAAGACGGCAAAUGAAGAAACAUCUAUUCAAGAAAAUCGGCCAAAAUUCGGUAAGAAACGCAAGAGUCUGAUAUUUCAACCAAGACGUCUUCCUCCUUUCACCCUCCCGACUCAGCAAGGCGAGACCCUCCUCCGGGACUACCCUAUCGGAAGCUAGGAGACCGAGGACCGGGCCUCGUCCUCCCACGGCUCCCAGUGGGAGGGGCAGGAAGUCAGCAGUUUUCACCCUGCCCCCGGCCAGCUGACACUGAGGCUAAUGCUAGGGGACUUCAGGAUGUGGAGAAACUCAGAUGCAGUCCAUGCAGCCACUGGUGGUUCUAUUGACUUUGCAAGUUCUUCUUUGGCAAGAUGUAGUAACAAGGCCUGAAGUGCCCUCCUGCUCAAAACAACUAAAAAACUAUAUUGACAAAAUGUAUGAAACAAGUUUUCAGACAUUGGACAUCAAAGACUGUAGGACAAUGAUCCCUGAGAGAGGUGAGCCCUGUGAUUACCCUAGCUUGCUGCCUGGAAAGAGUUUCCAGGCAUGGCACAGGGAGGGAGAACUCAGGCAGAGCCUGGUAAUCUCCUUCAAUUGAGGAUACAGAGUCCAGGGUGGCCAAAGUGUCUGGAAUUUUCAGGGCAAAGUACCAGAGGCAAGAGACCUGCACAGAGAGACUCUCUAGGGAUCUGAGAGAGUCCCCUCAAGUUUUCAGCUGGAUAAUAGUCAGUGCAUAUGAGGAAGGAAACCAUCCAAGUCUGUGGAAGAACUACCUGAAAGGAGCAGAGGAAACAAUUCUCAAAGCUCACAUAGGGAAAAGAAUAGUUCAUGUUCGCCCUAGACAGAGGGGGAAAAUUAGCCCUAGACUAAAGGCAACCCUAGUUCCAUAUAACAAAGCUUAAGGGCAAGCCUCCAAAAGAUCAAACUAUUUGUAAAUGAUUUAACUGCAUCUCAGAAGAAAGCUCAAAAAUAUAUGUAUGAGUACAAAAACAUCCAGUAUCCAACAAGGUAAAGUUCACAAUGUCUGGCAU